rnacentral:lncRNA from 1 species
UGCAUGGCUGAGCUGUGUCUCACGGGUGGCUCCCGUGUGGUUCAUGUGUGGUUCAAGCAUGGAACAUGUGUGUUUCACAGGUUCUUCAGAUGGGGUUCAAGGAUGUCUCCCAAGUGCUUCUUGCCUGGCUCACAGAUGGUUCAGGUGUAAAUCAGGCGUGGAUCUCACAUGACUCAUCUGGGUCACAUAUGGUAUAGGACACUUUCACACGUGGUUCAGGCAUAGCUCAGCCAUGGCUCACACGUGACGCAGGCCUGCCACAGAACUGGCUCCUAUGUGGCUGUCACAUGAUACAGGCUUUGGUCACGCAUGCAUCACACAUGGUUCAGGUGUGGCACAUGCAUGUUUGUGGUGUGGGUCAUGCGUGGCUCACAUGUGUUUUAGGCAUGUGUGGCACGUGGUUCAGGCAUGGCAGGCAAGUUGUGCCAGUGUGGCUGACACGUGCUUCAAGUGAGGCUGACCUGUGGUUCAAGAGUGAGUGGCACUUUGUUCAGGCAUGGCUGGCCCGUCACUUGGUGCUGGGAAACCUUGACACAGGCGUGGUUCCCACGUUGUUCAGGAGAGGCUGACACCUGACGCACGUGAGGUGGAAACCGUGACACAGGCGUGCCUGACACGUCACUCAGGUGUAGUUCACACAAGGUUCAUGCAUGGCAUUCCUGUGGUUCAGGUGUUGCUGGUGCCUGGUGCAAACAUGUGUGGCAGGUGGCUCAGGCGUGGCUGAAAUGUGCCUGUGGCAUGUGCGAAACAGGACUCCGGUGUGGUUGACACAUGUGUUAGGCAUGGCUUACAUGUGACUCAGGCAUUCAUGGCCCAGUAUCCAUGUUUGACGGAAAUGAGAUGAGGCAGGAGUCACAUGCCGUACAUGGGUGGCUCCCACGUGCCUACAGUGUGCUGAAACGUGGCUCCCACAUACUCAGUCAUGGCUGCCACGUGGCUCACGCAUGGCUCAGCUGUGUUUCACGGGUGGCUCCCCUGUGGUUCAUGCUUAUUUCAAGCAUAUAACAUGUGUGUUUCACAGGUUCUUCACAUGGGGUUCAAGGGUGUCUCCCAUGUGGUUCCUGCAUGGCUCACACAUGGUUCGGGUGUAAUUCAGGUGUGGAUCUCACACGACUCGUCUGGGUCACAUAUGGUUGAGGACACUCUCACACGUGGUUCAGGCAUAGCUCAGCCAUGGCUCACGUGUUUCACAGGCGUUCCACAGAACUGGCUCCCAUUUGGCUGACACAUGAUACAGGCUUUGGUCACGCAUGGAUCACACAUGGUUCAGGUGUGGCUCAUGCAUGUCUGUGGUGUUGGUGACACGUGGCUCACAUGUGAUUUUGGCAUGGGUGACAUGUGACACCUGGUUCAGGCAUGUUGUGCCAGUGUGGCUGACAAGUGCUUCAAUUUAGGCUGACCUGUGGUUCAUGUGUGAAUGGCAUUUGGUUCAGGCCUGGCUGGCACGUGACUUGGCGCUGCUGAGCCUUGACACAGGCGUGGUUCACACGUUGUUCAGGAGUGUCUGACACAUGACUCAGGUGAGGUGGAAAUGUGACACAGGCAUGCCUGACACGUCACGCAGGUGUGGUUCACACAUGGUUCAUGCAUGGCCUUCAUGUGGUUCAGGGUGUCUGGUGCAUGGUGUAUGCAUUGAUGGCAGGUGGUUCAGGUGUGGCUGAAAUGUGACUCCGGCAUGUGUGAAACAGGACUCCAGUGUGGCUGACACAUGACUGAGGGAUUCAUCACCAGUAUCCAUGUGUGACGGAAAUGUGAUCAUGCAGGAGUCACGUGCCGUACAUGGGUGGCAGCCACGUGACUAAAGGUUGCUGAA